CAAAAUGAGGAAGAAAACAAAGAACUAAUAUUUCUUCAGACCUUGAGCAAGAUGGACAUUUCCCCGAAGAAAGCGAGACUACUCUGAACUGCUCAUCCAAUCAUUCUUUAAGUGAUAUAAGGUCCAGGGUUGCAGACGACACAGCACAGGAUGACUCUUCAGAGGUGACCCAGUUUGACAGCACAGAACACUGUUGAUAGGAAGGAAGAGGAACUGAGGGGAUACGAUUUUCAUCCACUGCCUAUUCUCCUCGCUGUGGAGAUGACCAGAGACCGACAUGCUGGGACAUGAAAGCUCUCACUAGAUGCUACUGUCACGCUCUUGGAUGUCCCAACAUUUAGCAGCAUAAGACAAAGAAAAUUCUGUUCCUUCAAAAUUACCCAGUAACAGAUUGUUUUGUUAUUGCUGUGAGAAUUGGAUUAUGACAUCUACAGAGUAUUUUUCAGCAAGUUGAUGAGAUGAAAAAUCAGAAAGAACCACCUCAUAGACUUACUUUGAAUUGAUGGAGAAAAUAAAGAAGAAAAGAAUCCAAGACAAAGAGAAAUAAAGAACUACAAAAUAAAUCCCAGGGAACAGAGGAAAGAAAAGUUCAGACAAAGAAAUUGUAGGAGCAAAUUUAAAUGAAAAAUAUGAGAGAGAAGAAAAUCAUCCUAGAAACAACCAAAGUAAGAAUAAAUCCAAUUUAAAACAGAGCAGGCUUUUAAUUAAUUAAUUAAUUGAGUGAGUAAUCACUGAACCUUUUAUAUGGCCAAUGUGUUUUCGAUGCAGGGAAUUUAGCAGUGUGUUAGUUGGACAACAAUUCUUCCCUUCCCUGGAUUGUGGAGUUUAUAGUCUAGGGUAAACAGGAGAGAUGGGUGAAGAAAACAAAAAAGAAAAAAAUUUAAUAGUUCUAUGAAUAAAAGUAAAAUAGGGCUAUAUGAUAGAUGUGAAAACUUCAGAGUAAUCAGAAAAGUUACCUCUAACCAAAUGACAUUUUAUCUGAAACCUAUGUAACAAGAAUGAGUCAGAUCUGCAAAUAUCUGGAGAGAUGUUGUAGGCAUGAACAGACGCUGUGGAUUUUGGAUUGUUCAACUUACAAGUUUUUAGCUUUAUGAUGAUGUGGAAGCAAUGCACAUUCAGUAAAAACUGUACUUUGCAUUUUGAUGUUUUCCUGGGUUAGCUAUUGCUGCGUGAUUCUCUCUUACAAUUCUAGAAAGUGCUAUCAAGCUCAGUCAGCCACGUACUCACAAGGGAAACAACUCUAUACUGUACCGUAUUAUUAAAGUAUGAUGCUCAGUAAGAUAGGCAUAUAAAUGCAAUUUCAGCUUAGCAUAUCUCCAAUUUAUCAUGAGUUAAUCAGGAUGUAACGCUAUCCAAGUCAAGCAGCAUCUCUAAAAUAAUAGCAAAAAAGAUUAUUGAAAGAUAGAUGAGUGAUAAAGAAUAUCCAACAACUAUUCCAUUGGUGUUUGUGAAGAAGAAAUGAACAAAAAAAAACCAGAAAAAUUAUUUUAUUUUAUUUUAUUUUGAGAUGAUCUUGCUGUGUAGUCCAGGCCAAAUUUAGAUUUGUAAUCCCCUUGCCUCUGCCAUUUUGCAUGCUAGGAUUAAAGGUGUGUACCACUAUACCACAACACAGAAUAUAUAUAUAUAUAUAUAUAUAAUUGGUCUUUUGAGACAGGGUCUUGCUAUGCUGUUCAAGCUGGUCUUGGGCUCACUUUGUAGCGCAGGCUGGUCUCAAACUUGCAAAGAUCUUCCUGCCUCAGCCUCCUGAGUGCUGAGCAGAAAAUAUAUUUUGAAAUAGGAAAAACAAUCCCCAAAAUUAAUGCUUAAAUGUGGAGCACAAAAAGAGUAAUGCUGGGCCCGGAUAUAGCUCAGUGGCACACGUGCCUAUGUGGCAAGUGCAAGGUCCUGAGUUUGAUUUCUGGUACAAACAAACAAACCAACAAGCCCAAAAUAACUAAACUAAAGAGUAACGCUAUAAUGGGAACUUGACAUUUGAAUCAUCAACACAGUGCAUAUUGUAGGCCUGAAUGGUCUUGUGGAAAAAUAAUAGGGGUAACCAACCUGACAGGUCUUGCGGCUCGCCAUGUGCUCCAGCAUGUGGUGGAAGAGAUGUUGCAAGGCUUUGACCCUGUCUGAAGAAACCUCACGUACUGCUGCUCACCCUCCUACAGCCCUGUUCCCAUCCUCUGAACAAGCCUGGCGAGCCUGCAGAAGCAUGCGAGACCACUAGCCGGGUCGCCCCCAUUACCCUGCCAAGACAUAACCACAUACCAUACAUGCAAAUUAGAUGAUUCCAAACCAAACAGACUCCAGCUGACCCAAGUUCUGACUCAUUCACUCAAGAUGAGGCCAAGCCAGGUCAGCAGAACCGCCCCACAGACCUGUGGACCUAUAGGAGGUGGUCCAUGAUAUUUGCAUUCAGUCGCAGUGUCUUCAAAGGAUUCAUUAGGCAACAAAAGUUUACCAAUAAGUAUCUCAAUGCUUUUCAAAAUCCUUUUGUUGCCUUUAGAGAACUAAUUUAGAAAAUAAUAUGUCUUUUGUAAUGAAAUGGUUGCCUGAUUUUCAGCACAUCCAAUUAUUUUCUCUAGGUAUUCACAGAGGAUAGGUUCCAGGACCACCUAAUUCUUUGAUGUCUAAGACUCUCACACCAAAUGGCUUGAAUUAAAACCUGUGCAUCAGGAGCUGGGGAUUUAGCUCAGCGGCAUAAGCGCCUGCCUUGCAACCAGGCGGUCCUGAGUUUGAUCCCUGGUACCGAUAAAAAAGGAAAAAGAAAAAAAAAAAAAAAAACCUGUGCAUCUUCCUGUAAACAUUAAAUUACCUCUGGAAUACUUA